rnacentral:rRNA from 1 species
UUAAUGUCAGCAUGCAGAUCCAUUCUCUGCCACCGAAUACAUUAGCAUGGGAUAAUGGAAUAGGACCCUGUCCUCCUAUUUUCAGUUGGUUUUGGCAGCGCGAGGACUAGGGUAAUGAUUAAUAGGGAUAGUUGGGGGCAUUAAUAUUUAAUUGUCAGAGGUGAAAUUCUUGGAUUUAUGAAAGAUUAACUUCUGCGAAAGCAUCUGCCAAGGAUGUUUUCAUUAAUCAAGAACGAAAGUUAGGGGAUCGAAGACGAUCAGAUACCGUCGUAGUCUUAACCAUAAACGAUGCCGACCAGCGAUUAGGAGACGUUGAAUACAAAACACCACCAUCGGUGCGGUCGUCCUUGGCGUCGGUCUUUGCCGGCCGGGGCGUGGGUGGCUUAGCCGGGUGGCGCCGGUGAAUGACUCCCCUACCUGUGGUGAGAGAAAAU